CACCCCACCUUUCCAGCCACAGCCCACAUCAUCUCAUCUUGAGCAUUCCGGAAAAACUGGCCAGUCCCUCAACUCAGGGUUGCAUCUUCUGUGCCUCCACACCUUUGCCCAUAUCAUCCCCCAUGCCAGGAUUACACUCACUUCUUAUAUCUGCCAUAUGGAACUCUUCUCUCCCUUCAAGGCCCAGCUCAGAUGCUACCUCCUCAGCGAAGCCUUCCAUGAUUUCCUGCAGGUACAAGGAAGUGUCCCUUUCCUCCUCAAAUAUCUCCAAAGCACUUGACCUGGCUUUCAGACGUCCCUGUGAGAUCCUACCUGGUCAUGGGGAGCCUUGAAGGAAGAUAAAGAUUUGUAGAGGUGUUUUUAUACCGGAGACGCACCUGCUUCCUUGGCUGGAUGCCAUCUGAAUCCAGCCUGUGGGGACAGAGGUGACAGGGCUGGGAGAGGAAAAAGCUAGAGGCGGACGGCCGGCUUUGUCAUGAGGCCUCUGGGAUUGUCUGAGGUCAUUGUAUUGCAGUGCUGAGAAGAGCCGAGCCAUUUACGGCGUUUCAUCAAACGAUAUUGCUGUGACUGUCUACACCAUUCUCCUGGUGCUGCUCACUUACCUAUG